GAUGAACGCUGGCGGCGUGCUUAACACAUGCAAGUCGAACGGAAAGGCUCCUGCUUGCAGGGGUACUCGAGUGGCGAACGGGUGAGUAACACGUGGGUGAUCUGCCCUGCACUUCGGGAUAGGCCUGGGAAACUGGGUCUAAUACCGGAUAGGACGAUGGUUUGGAUGCCAUUGUGGAAAGUUUUUUCGGUGUGGGAUGAGCUCGCGGCCUAUCAGCUUGUUGGUGGGGUAAUGGCCUACCAAGGCGUCGACGGGUAGCCGGCCUGAGAGGGUGUACGGCCCCAUUGGGACUGAGAUACGGCCCAGACUCCUACGGGAGGCAGCAGUGGGGAAUAUUGCACAAUGGGCGCAAGCCUGAUGCAGCGACGCCGCGUGGGGGAUGACGGCCUUCGGGUUGUAAACUCCUUUCGCUAGGGACGAAGCGCAAGUGACGGUACCUGGAGAAGAAGCACCGGCUAACUACGUG
rnacentral:rRNA from 1 species